CCUACGGGAGGCAGCAGUGGGGAAUUUUGGACAAUGGGCGAAAGCCUGAUCCAGCAAUGCCGCGUGAGUGAAGAAGGCCUUCGGGUUGUAAAGCUCUUUCAGUCGAGAAGAAAAGGUUGUGACUAAUAAUCACAAUUUAUGACGGUAUCGAC
rnacentral:rRNA from 1 species